rnacentral:lncRNA from 1 species
CUUUAGUGUUCCAUGGCUGAGUCCGAGUGCACUGCAAGCAAUGCCUAUUUUUUUUUUUUUUUCACAGAUUCAUCAUUUGUUGGCAGCCCUUGGUGGGAAGAGGAUGGCUUGGGCUCUGAGAGUCAAAGAAGUGGAGAUGGGGCCUGUGCUUCUCCUUGUCCUGCUCCUGCUUCUCCAGCACCAGGGACCAGUCUUCCUCCUUCACCAGCUGGACACUCACCAGACAAGUGCGAGUAAAACUGCACCUGAUGGCCUGGGAAGAAUAGCAGGAGUGACAUUGUUCCAUUCUCCAUGCCUCCUGUAGAAGCACCGGCACCAGUAUAAUUCCCAACAUCUUCUCUUCUGUAGUCACAUAGGCUGGUGGCAGGGGUUAGUGUUUUGUAGAAUCAUUGUGAAGAUUAAGAAAGAACCAG